rnacentral:rRNA from 1 species
AUUGAACGCUGGCGGCAGGCCUAACACAUGCAAGUCGAGCGGAGCGGCGGACGGGUGAGUAAUGCCUAGGAAUCUUCCUGGUAGUGGGGGAUAACGUCCGGAAACGGGCGCUAAUACCGCAUACUAUCAGAUGAGCCUAGUGCGGAUUAGCUAGUUGGUGGGGUAAGGGCCUACCAAGGCGACGAUCCGUAACUGGUCUGAGAGGAUGAUCAGUCACACUGGAACUGAUGCACGUUCAAGACUCCUCCGGGAGGCAGCAGGGGGGAAUAUUGGACAAGGUCCGAAAGCCUGAUCCAGCCAUGCCGCGUGUGUGAAUAAGUUCUUCGGAUUUUAAAGCACUUUAAGUUGGGAGGCGUUACCAACAGAAUAAGCACCGGCUAACUUCGUGCCAGCAGCCGCGGUAAUUC